rnacentral:rRNA from 1 species
AGCGAGCGCUGGCGGCAGGCUUAACACAUGCAAGUCGAGCGGGCAUCUUCGGAUGUCAGCGGCAGACGGGUGAGUAACACGUGGGAACGUACCCUUCGGUUCGGAACAACUCUGGGAAACUGGAGCUAAUACCGGAUACGCCCUUAUGGGGAAAGGUUUACUGCCGAAGGAUCGGCCCGCGUCUGAUUAGCUAGUUGGUGGGGUAACGGCCUACCAAGGCGACGAUCAGUAGCUAGUCUGAGAGGAUGAUCAGCCACACUGGGACUGAGACACGGCCCAGACUCCUACGGGAGGCAGCAGUGGGGAAUAUUGGACAAUGGGCGCAAGCCUGAUCCAGCCAUGCCGCGUGAGUGAUGAAGGCCUUAGGGUUGUAAAGCUCUUUUGUCCGGGACGAUAAUGACGGUACCGGAAGAAUAAGCCCCGGCUAACUUCGUG